rnacentral:other from 1 species
GGUUUGCUGCGCGGUUCGUCAGGUAGCUAUAUCCCUGGGGCCAAUAUCUACCUCUCGGGGGCUGUCCCUGUCGGAACCCUGGUUCCGGUAAAUGGCCACCCACCUGCAAAAGCAGGCCACGGAGGAUCCGCAUGCCAACGGCCGAGGCGGCGCCGCU